rnacentral:rRNA from 1 species
UACAGAGGGGGCGAGCGUUGUUCGGAAUUACUGGGCGUAAAGGGCGCGUAGGCGGCCCGCUAAGUCGAACGUGAAAUCCCCAGGCUCAACCUGGGAACUGCGUCCGAUACUGGCAGGCUUGAAUCCGGGAGAGGGAUGUGGAAUUCCAGGUGUAGCGGUGAAAUGCGUAGAUAUCUGGAGGAACACCGGUGGCGAAGGCGGCAUCCUGGACCGGUAUUGACACUGAGGCGCGAAAGCUAGGGGAGCAAACGGG